GAGACAGCAGUCGCCGCGGUAAUACGGAGGGUGCAAGCGUUAUCCGGAUUUAUUGGGUUUAAAGGGUACGUAGGCGGAUCUGUAAGUCAGUGGUGAAAUCUCACAGCUUAACUGUGAAACUGCCAUUGAUACUGCAGGUCUUGAGUAAAUUUGAAGUGGCUGGAAUAAGUAGUGUAGCGGUGAAAUGCAUAGAUAUUACUUAGAACACCAAUUGCGAAGGCAGGUCACUAAGAUUUAACUGACGCUGAUGGACGAAAGCGUGGGGAGCGAACAGGAUUAGAUACCCCCGUAGUCCCUGUCUCUUAUAC
rnacentral:rRNA from 1 species